UCCUGUAGGACCUUAAUAUUUAUUUCACAGAGGCAAUUUGGGCGCAGCUGGUGGCCAGCCCAACCCAACCCCAAAAGUCGUGAGUUAUCGCACCUGUGUUAGUGUUUGACAGGAGGGAUCCCGGAGCAGCUGGCAGUCAUCGCUCCGCAGCAAUGCUCCAUUCUGCUCCGGACAAUCUGGGUCCACCCAGCAAAGCAGCUCCUCCGAUCUGCUGCAACCCCGGAGCGAAGCGUGCAGAGCAUCGGGAGGAAAUUUAAUUUCGGCGAAACCUGGCGCAAAGCUCCGAAGCCGGAGGGUCCGAGAAAGCGGCGCAAAGGGAAAAAGGAGCCGCGAGGGCUGUACUUACAGUGACACUGCGCCGGGCACGAGGGCACAGCGCCCUGCUCCGCCGCUCGGACGUGGGCAGAGCACGCCAGCAGAACGCCCCAGAAGAUGAAGCGCUCCAUCCUCAGCUCGCUGCAAGCAGAGAGAAGCCGGGGGGGCUC